rnacentral:rRNA from 1 species
UACGGAGGGUGCAAACGUUGCUCGGAAUCAUUGGGCGUAAAGCGCACGUAGGCGGGUUGUUAAGUCGGAUGUGAAAUCCCCUCAGCUUAACUGAGGAAGUGCACUCGAAACUGGCAGCCUUGAGUAUGGAAGAGGGUCGCGGAAUUCCCGGUGUAGAGGUGAAAUUCGUAGAUAUCGGGAGGAACACCAGUGGCGAAGGCGGCGACCUGGGCCAAUACUGACGCUGAGGUGCGAAAGCGUGGGGAGCAAACAGG